AGAGUUUGAUCCUGGCUCAGGACGAACGCUGGCGGCGUGCCUAAUACAUGCAAGUCGAGCGAGCUUGCCUAGAUGAUUUUAGUGCUUGCACUAAAUGAAACUAGAUACAAGCGAGCGGCGGACGGGUGAGUAACACGUGGGUAACCUGCCCAAGAGACUGGGAUAACACCUGGAAACAGAUGCUAAUACCGGAUAACAACACUAGACGCAUGUCUAGAGUUUGAAAGAUGGUUCUGCUAUCACUCUUGGAUGGACCUGCGGUGCAUUAGCUAGUUGGUAAGGUAACGGCUUACCAAGGCAAUGAUGCAUAGCCGAGUUGAGAGACUGAUCGGCCACAUUGGGACUGAGACACGGCCCAAACUCCUACGGGAGGCAGCAGUAGGGAAUCUUCCACAAUGGACGAAAGUCUGAUGGAGCAACGCCGCGUGAGUGAAGAAGGGUUUCGGCUCGUAAAGCUCUGUUGGUAGUGAAGAAAGAUAGAGGUAGUAACUGGCCUUUAUUUGACGGUAAUUACUUAGAAAGUCACGGCUAACUACGUGCCAGCAGCCGCGGUAAUACGUAGGUGGCAAGCGUUGUCCGGAUUUAUUGGGCGUAAAGCGAGUGCAGGCGGUUCAAUAAGUCUGAUGUGAGAGCCUUCGGCUCAACCGGAGAAUUGCAUCAGAAACUGUUGAACUUGAGUGCAGAAAAGGAGAGUGGAACU
rnacentral:rRNA from 1 species